CCACUUCUACUCCACUAGAAGGAGGAGGUCGCGGCAGGGUAGGCUUAUGGUGUUGCGGUUCGAUCCCAAGAUAAGAAAGCACACUUGGUAUACAGAGAAGAAGGAAAGAUAGGCACACGGCAAAGCUGCGAAACCAAAUUACACGAGCUACACUAUAUGGCAACAGGCACAGUCAAGUGGUUCAACGACGCUAAGGGUUUCGGAUUCAUCACGCCAGACGAAGGCGGUGAGGACCUGUUCGCUCACUUCUCUGCCAUUAACGUUCAGGGGUUCAAGACACUCAAAGAAGGACAGAAGGUGUCGUUCGACGUUA
rnacentral:misc_RNA from 1 species